rnacentral:pre_miRNA from 1 species
GAGACACUCUUCUGGGGCAAGACUUGCUUCAGUGGGGCUUUGGUGCUCACUGAGUCUUCCCCCUGAGUGUGUCCCU